UCAUCAAGCUCCUUGCGAAGCUGUAGGA
rnacentral:sRNA from 1 species